AACGAACGCUGUCGGCAUCCCUAACACCUGCAAGUCUAAUGAGCCCUUUGGGUCUCGUGGCUUUCGUGUCCGUCUCGCGUGGGAACCUCCCCUUAAGUUCUGCUUAACUCCUCGAAAGGGGUUCUAAUACCCGAUAAUGUCUUUGGUCCAAAGAUUUAUCGCCUUUGGAUGGGCUCGCGUCGGAUUAGCUAGUUGGUAGGGUAAAAGCCUACCAAGGCGACGACCCAUAGCUGGUCUGAGAGGAUGAUCAGCCACACUGGGACUGAGACACGGCCCAGACUCCUACGGGAGGCAGCAGUGGGGAAUAUUGGACAAUGGGCGAAAGCCUGAGCCAGCAAUGCCGCGUGAGUGAUGAAGGCCUUAGGGUUGUAAAGCUCUUUUACCCGGGAUGAUAAUGACAGUACCGGGAGAAUAAGCUCCGGCUAACUCCGUG
rnacentral:rRNA from 1 species